GGCGGUUCUUGGGUGACGCCACCCAAAAUCGGGCUCCCUCCUCUCUGGUUCUGGGUGGGUCACCGAGAACCACA
rfam:Myotis davidii contig34713, whole genome shotgun sequence.